GCCCUGAGUCAGCAUCAGUUGGAGCUUUAGUUGAUCUGAAACACGGUGCUCAAUGGAGUUUUGGAAAAUUAAUCAGCUUCCCUUUGUGAAUGCUUGCAUUUCCACACUUUCAUUUUAUGAACUUUCACACCCGUCUGUGGGGUUUUGAGGUUUGCUUCAUUCAGACCCAUAUUGGAAAGGCCCGAAUUCCUGUCACAGCCAGGAUUUUCUCCAGCUCCAGGGAUUUGUUUGGUUUUGUGCCAUUUUAUCUCAAGUUUUAUUCCUUCCAUCUGAUUCAAAUAUUUUGUUACCGACUCAUAGUUCUUCUUAAGAAAAAGAAAAAAAAGAUAGAAAAGAAGAAGCAAAACAGCACCUCUUUUAAAACAGGAAAUCGCUCUGGUUUGAAUUUCCUGUCGGAAUUUGGGCAGGUUGGUUGGCAACUGGUGAUCUGGACACAUGUCAGAUUUCAGGAGCUUUUUACUCCAUCCGCUUGGUGGGAGAGGGACUCUGCAUCAUCGGCAGCAUUUUACAGAUGUGUGUUGAACUCUGAAAAGAACAGAAUUGCAGCCUCUACCUAUUCCGAAGAUCAUCUAAUAGAACGCUACCCGGCUUCUCACCCCUCUUUAUAA
rnacentral:lncRNA from 1 species